CGGGAAAGCUCUCCGGGGCCGGCGGCGGAUACUCACUUAUCUUACUUAAGUGAUGGAACCAUACACUAAAGAAAAAAAAUCACCCUUGGAUCUUUGGCAUUCAUAUUUGUGUGAAAGAAUCUAGGAUGUUCCAAGAAAAGGCAUCAGACAAUUGCUUAAAUGUAGUAACAACAUCUACUGAAGAUGGUGCUUUCCAAAAGAAAGGCCAUAGUGCAAGAGUCCUUAGCCCAGAGGAAGCUGAGAGACUGGCAAAAGAUCAGGUUUUGGUGUCUGAGUUCAAACAACUAAAACUGGAGAAAGAGGCACAGAAGAACUGGGAUCUGUUUUACAAAAGAAACAGUACCAACUUCUUCAAAGAUAGACAUUGGACAACUAGAGAGUUUCAAGAGUUAAAAGCAUGUCGUGAGUUUGCAGAUCAGAAACUGACCGUUCUGGAAGCGGGCUGUGGGGUUGGGAACUGCUUGUUUCCACUCUUAGAAGAAGAUCUGAAUAUUUUUGCAUAUGCCUGUGAUUUCUCUCCUAGAGCUGUUGAGUAUGUGAAGAAAAAUGCCUUAUAUAGUACCGAAAGAUGUAAAGUGUUCCAGUGCGAUCUUACCAAAGAUGAUCUUCUAGACAAUAUACCAGCAGAUUCAGUGGAUGUUGUCACACUUAUAUUUGUCCUUUCUGCCAUUCAUCCUGACAAAAUGAAUCUUGUCUUGAAGAACAUUUACAAGGUAUUAAAACCAGGCAAGUGUGUCUUGUUCCGAGACUAUGGAAUGUAUGAUCAUGCAAUGCUCAGGUUUAAAUCCGGCAGCAAACUUGGAGAAAACUUUUAUGUUAGACAAGAUGGGACAAGAUCAUAUUUUUUUACUGAAGAGUUCUUAUCUCAGCUUUUCAAGGCUGAGGGAUAUGAGCAAGUGGUCAAUGAAUAUGUGCAGCGAGAAACUGUGAAUAGGAAAGAAGACUUACGUGUUCCAAGAGUUUUUCUUCAAGGCAAAUUUCAAAAGCCUUUCAGUAAGACAUAAGUUCUUGCUGAUUAGCAACAGCAUUACUUGUUUGAAAUUGAAGCUAGCAUAUAGCCUCAUGUGUGCUCAUCUUUCUAGUAAACCAGAAAUGACUGCAUCCAGUGCCUCCUGUUGGUUUCUGUCCUCAGCUACAAAAUAAGAAUGCUAUUUCUAAUUCACUUUUAAGAUGGUUUACUGAUGCAGGCAACCUGUUGAGCGCCUGUAUUCCUACUUCUAAAGUAAAACCUGUGCAACACUGUUGGAGAAUCAGGUACCUGAAGGUUCCUUGGGUUGCAAAGGCCGAAUAUUUAAGCAGUUAGUACAACACUAUAGCCAUGGUUGACUGUGCAUCAUUUCUAUGAAACCAAGUGCUAUAAAAGUGGGACCUGAAACUCCAGCACCUAUAAACAUCAGCAGUCAACUGUAAAACAUGCAGCCUUGGUCUUGUAGGUGAAUACUGGUAUAUGAAAUCUGAAAGGUCAUUUAUAUUGUAAUUUUUUUUUGCUUGAUCUGUUGUAUGGUUUAUACAUCUGAAUAUAUUGAGAGAUACAAAUUACCAGUUAGGAAGUGUUUUAUGGAAGAGUCGUUUGAAAGAUACAUAUAUUUGGAGAAGAUAUUGGUGUUGAGUAUCAGUAUGUGAAGGAAAAAAGUUAAGAUUAUGUUUAAGUUACUGGGGAAAAAAGCAUUUCCUGAGUUUCACAGACCAGCGAUGAUGUACAAUUAAAUGUAUUGUUCAUCUGAAAAGUGCAACUUUGGAAAUGAAAGCCUGCAGCUUCCAAAAUCAGACUAAUGUUACAGGGAGGCAGAAAGAUGGCCUCAAAUUGUGUGUGAUAUCAGUAAUACAUUCAAGACUCUGUGCGAAGCAGAAUUUUAUAUUGGAAAGAUAUUGUCGAGAUACGAUUAGUGAAAAUAGGUAAGUGUUUGUUUAUGGAUUUUUACCUCCCAUAGUAUAGCUAUGAAGAAUUUUUCACUGGUUAUGCUUGUUAUUAGGAAUGAUUGUGAGCCAUUUCAAAUGCUUGGGAGCAAACAUUUAUUAGUUAUACAUUUUGCAAAAACAUCUGGCCCUUGGGUGCAGUAGGUUCAGGAUAUGAUUAUGUUUGCUCUCUGUGUUUGUAAUGUGAGUUCAUUUACUAGAACAAAGGCAGAUGGGGAGCCUACACCGUGGGGAGGCACACAGAGGCAUUGCUUGCAAAAAUAAAAGUUAUUAGUCAGGUAAGAUGUUCCAUUAGAGAACCUUUUUCAUUUCCACCUCCUGGGCUCAUAUGCAGCAGGGAGAAAAUACUGGUGCUGUGAAAUCAGGGAAGGCAAGGGCUCAAGAAAAAGAACGUGAUUCUUCCAAACGAAAACUGAUUUUGUGUACCUCUACUUAAAUGAUUCUGUUUGGGAACGUUCAGUCUCUUUUCCAGCAAGUCUUAGACCUCAUCCUUGGAAAAUUUGAUCGCUUUUGAAGGUCUUUGCCAAAGACACAGGUUUAACUUACAUGCUUGUAGAAUAUAUAAAGUGCAUGCUUGUAGAAUAUAUGAAGUGAAAUAUUAAAAAAGGUAGCUGUGUGACUGAAAAUAUAAAUCCAGAUUUGUUUUUCUCCCUUGCCUUGUGAGAAGCUUUAUGCUUCACUGUCACUUCAGUGCUUUUUCAGAGUUCCUGCUCUGGGAUGCUGUGCUGUCUUGCCCUUGUUUAAGCUAUAUACACCAUAUUGACUACAGCUCAGGUUUCUGAUGCCUGUAGUAUCCUGAGAAAUUAGAGUGGAAAUAACUGAGGGUAGUUGCAGGGAAAAAUCAGAAAGUAGGCAAGGCACUACUGAAGACAAGCCUACCUACUGUCUGUGCUCUACUCAGUAUUUUUCUAUGCUCCAUUUCUCUUGGAUUUCUGUACUAAAUUUUGAACAGCAGAGAAGCUGCUAUUCAAUGGGGUAAUGAUCUUCAUACAUAUGGGAUUGCUGUGCAUCUGAAAUUCAAGGAAUUUUGUGAACUUUGUUUUCUUUUUUCUAAUUUUGGCUUUAAGCUUGUAUCUGAAAUCUAACAUUUAAUUGGAAUUUUUAUCAUCUAAUAGAUGAUAAAAAUCUUUUUCCUUUAAAUGUAACAAACCUGUUGCUGUUUUGCUAAAACCAGAGUAUUCAAAAGCAGGAUGGAAGAAGAUGGGAGGGAAGGAAAUGAGACUUUUCUGUACAAAUAACAUAAAUGUUCUGAUCUAUUUGUUUUAUUAGCAAAACAAAUUUCAUAGGAACAUGAAAAUACUUUGAAGAAGCCACUAAACCAUUGCCACUAAUUUUUUCUAAACUACCUUCAGAAAGAUAGUUCUACAAGCUUGUGCAACUUUUUAGACUUAGCCAUGACCAGCUGGCUGAAGUAUCUGAUCACAGACUUCACCUUCAAUAUUUGAGGGUGCUCUGUUGUGUCCUUUAGGAUCUGGCCUCAGGGAACAUCCCACUUGUAACCUCUUAUCUGGAUGAAGGUGAGCCACUUAUUGGAAGUUGAAUAUGCAGAUGUUCAUGACUUUCCACCCAAUAAAGUAGCACCCUCUUUGCUUCACCGUGUAGGCCACUAAAGACUUUUAGUAGUUCUGGAUCAGCUUCCAGUAACAAUUUCAGGUUGGGGUUUUGAUUUUGAAGGCAACUAAUAAAUUAAAGGUCAACAACUGUCUGUAUAUGCUUGACCUGUACUUGUCUGGGACACAGUGGCCAAGAGAAAGUCUGUUAAAAAUAAAACUCACAAGAUAGGAGAACCCAUCUCAAAGUAAACUGAAAUAAUCAAACUGAUAGAUUCAAAAUGUAUUUUAGAAAUACUGAAAAAUCCUCUCCUUACAGACUUUCCUCUACACAAAAUACUAACCUGCCCUGUUACUUAAAAGUUCCUUCCAAGCCACUAAAUAAAGGCUUUAAAAAAACCCCAUAACUGAACCUUAAAGGAAAAGGAAAUAUUACAAACAGACUGUCCAGUGUUAACCACGUACAUCUCUUAAAGUAGGGCAGUGGUGUUCUCAAAAGCCCACUGAAGAGAGGGUAAGCUUGUCAACUGGUGCUGGUACAGAGAGCUUUUACUUUGAUUCCAUAAUGCACAGUUUAUACUUCAUUUGUACAGGUUUCUUUAUGGGAACUCUUUGCCUGAUUCAGUCACCGAUAGUAGAUUGGCAAGAUAGAAUGAAUUUGCAGUUAGAACCAAUUCUAGGAUGUAUUACUACUUCUGUAAAAUAAAAGACUUCUUGUGAAUGA